GGAAUUGCAACAUCUAUUACCCCAUUGAUCACCAGGGUGACUUCAGUUGAUCUGGCUACCUUCUUCCUUCAACACUCCAUGUGUGUCCCUCUUCUCAAAAUGACCAGAAUUAAGAUUACUUCAUACUGGUUCAAGUUCUGCAAAGCCAAAAAGUUGGAAGCUAAAGCUAAAGGCUUAUUGGAUAUUCUUUAGUAACAAUAAUCUUAUGAAAUAUCACAAGCUGUGCUUGUUU
rnacentral:snRNA from 11 species